rnacentral:rRNA from 1 species
GAUGAACGCUAGCGGGAGGCUUGACACAUGCAAGUCGAGGGGCAGCACGGGGUAGCAAUACUCUGGUGGCGACCGGCGCACGGGUGAGUAACGCGUAUGCAACCUGCCUUGUACUGGGGGAUAGCCCGGAGAAAUUCGGAUUAAUACCCCAUAACGAUAUAGGAUGGCAUCAUUUUAUAUUUAAAGAUUCAUCGGUACAGGAUGGGCAUGCGUAACAUUAGCUAGUUGGUAGGGUAACGGCCUACAAAGGCAACGAUGUUUAGGGGUCCUGAGAGGGUGAUCCCCCACACUGGUACUGAGACACGGACCAGACUCCUACGGGAGGCAGCAGUGAGGAAUAUUGGUCAAUGGGCGCAAGCCUGAACCAGCCAUCCCGCGUGCAGGAAGACGGCGCUAUGCGUUGUAAACUGCUUUUCCAGGGGAAGAAAACUUCCGUCGUGACGGGACUUGCCGGUACCCUGGGAAUAAGCAUCGGCUAACUCCGUGCCAGCCGCCGCCGUAAUAC